rnacentral:rRNA from 1 species
UACGAAGGGGGCUAGCGUUGUUCGGAAUUACUGGGCGUAAAGCGCGCGUAGGCGGGCGUUUAAGUCAGGGGUGAAAUGCCGGGGCUCAACCUCGGAACGGCCUUUGAUACUGGACGUCUGGAGUUCGGGAGAGGUGAGUGGAAUUCCGAGUGUAGAGGUGAAAUUCGUAGAUAUCGAGAGGAACACCGGUGGCGAAGGCGGCCUUCUGGACAGUGACUGACGCUGAGACGCGAAAGCGUGGGUAGCAAACAGG